GCAAGUCAGGGUGAUCUGGCUCCACUAACUGAUGGGGGCUGUUUGGGCUGGUCUGGAUGGCUAGGCAGGUGACUUUCUCCUCUCUCACUGCUCCACUUGCCUCCCUCCUGAGGCUGCACAUUGGAGGCCACCUUCCGCACAUAGAGAUGGGCUGCUCUCCAGUGGAGGGUGAGGGUGUGGCUGUGCUUUCCUGUAGAAACAAAUUCUUGGGGCUGGGAGCACUCUCAUUCCCACAGGCAAGGACCUCUCUCCACGUACAGGUGGGGAUACUU
rnacentral:snRNA from 1 species